GCAAAAGAUUUACUAUAAGUUCUGCGUAAUAAACCACGCUUCAUUAAUGCUGCGGCAGACAGAAUCGUCGCGACGCAAGGAAUACUACGCAGCGAAGUUGCUUCGGCAGGGUUAUCUUAUCGCGAGCGAUCUUCGCUAAUGCAUUCAUCGUGUCGUGACACGUCGACACGGAAAAUGAACCCCGAAGCGGCCGUGCGUUAAAUCCAUAAAAAUCCAUAAAAAUCGUAGUCCCCUGCAGGACAUACGCGAGCAGCAGCAAGGAUGAAAGAAAUCGAACGGAUCGAGUGCUCGGUUGUGAACCCAUCAUUGAAACUGAUCGCUCUACGCGGGAGGUAUGCCGCUCCUUGCAUCUUAUUCAUGAAUGAUCAUCUACUUCUGAACACCGCGCGUCUUCAAUAGCCCACCUGUGGGCUCGAAAUAACACUGUGAAAUCGUAUUCAAGUCCCAGGAGAGAAAAGAGCAUGGUUCCCUUCGAGUCCUUCAUUCACUGUCUUGCUGAUCUCGUACCAUCUGGUCCUCCACCUGUGCCCAGCCAACUGUUUCUUUGCCAGUGCAACCAGAGCAAGUCCGGUUUCAAUCUCGGACCUCUUUCAGCAUUUUAUCUCACAACGACAAGGUAAGGUAGCGAGUAAGGUAAUAUCGG